GUGAUUAAACUAUCAAUUUUUUUCAAUUUCAUUCAAUUGAGGCUGCCACGUCAGAAAUUGCUGACGUGGCUCGCUGACUAGGCAAACUAAUACUUAUGUGUAAUUAAAAAAUAUUAUUUUAAUUAUCUCUUCUAAACAUCAAGGGUAAUUAAAUAUGUCAAAAACAAAAUAAAACAUAAUAAUAAUUUAAUAAAAUUAAACCAAAUCAAAAGAAAAAGAAAAAAAACUACUGCAUAGAUCUGGGAAAGGAGAGGGAGAGAUUGUUGUCUCCUUCACUCACAACUACGGGAAUCUUCUUCUUAACUUCCUUCCCUUCACUCGCAGCCACCAGAUUUUUCUCCUCAAGUUCAUUUCCUCCAGUUAGGUUUUCCUGCACCUUAGGUUUCCAUGCAUUCUUCAUCCUUUUUCUUUUUCUUCUUCGAUUCUCUAUCAAUUUGUUCAUCCUGAACCCUAACAUUUUCACUUGUCGAUUCCUUCAGUUUCCGAUUGGAGGACAGGCGAUUGUUAGAUACUCCAUUCACGAUUUGUUUAUGAUUUUCUCCACUCUCUUCUUCUACCUUUUCUCGAACAUUUUCAAUUUGCAAUUCCUCCGACUUUCGAUUGUGAUAAAACGACCGUCGAUUGUUAGAUACAGAGCUUGACGCAGAGGAGGAGUCGGAGAUGGUUCUGAUAGAAUCGAUUUUGUCAGAUCUGGAGGCUACCUCAUCGAUCUCCCUGUGAUUGCAUCGAUCUCGACCCGUUCACGUGCUUCAACAAUGGAUGAAUCAUCCGGUUCUGCUCCCUGUGGCCGACGUGUCUGAAAUCCUUUCUCGCCGGAAAGCAUCCUCAGAUCUCGCCGGAAAAUAUGUGUGAUCUCCUUUGUGUCUUUUUGUUUCUCAUUAGAUUUUUUUUUCAAGUGAAGAUCCGGUGAAGAAGGAGAUAAAUCUGUCUAUGGUUUAUACCUGAAAUUUUUUGAUCUCGCCGGAAAGAUUUUUGUUGGCUAUAGUUUAUACCUGAAAUUUUCUGAAUUUUUUGAUUAUUGUAGUUAGCCAUGGUUGGGUCAGUGACGAAGGAGAUAAAUCUGUCUUAUAUUUUACGAGAGUUGUGAGAUUCAAUCUGUUGUUUAUGAUUAGUAUUAAUGUCUAAUAUAAAAUUAUUUGACAAAUUUACCCUUUAAAUGUGUUAAGAAAAAAUAAAUACUAUUUUUAGUUACACCUCAGUUGAUUAAUGGCCCACCGAAAUAGCCACGUCAGCAAUUUCUGACGUGACAGCUUCAAUUGAAUGA
rnacentral:lncRNA from 1 species